AGAUUAUAUGACAGCACAUUAAUGUGUCUAAAAACAGCUAAUGAAUUAUGCAUGAGCUACGAGAAAAACUGAAAUUAAGAAAAACUAUUGGUGGUUUUCCUUUGAUCUUCAACAGAAAAAGCACAAAAUCAAUUUGUAUACAUGUACAUGUAGUUCUAAAAACCUGCACGUAUCUGUGGAAUAUGUCGAAGAGUACUCAUCAUUACAGCUUACUUCAAGUAGUGUCAUUUUGAUUAAGGUAUACAAUAAUCAAUGAAGACAACAACUAGAGUACAAAUUUGUACUUCCGAGAUCAUUUUACAUGUGAAGGAAUCGAAUAAUUGAGCAGACAAAGCAGCGAAGCAUAGAGAUUUUCAACCAAGCGAAAUUCCUUACAACACAUGCUUUAUGCUCAUAGCUAUUUUUGGGGGGAAAUAGGGGCUCGGAGAAAAAAGAAAAAAAAAUUAGACGGUACAGGGCAGUAAUUAUAAAGUCAAAUGAAAAUACAAGUCAAAUUAAAAUAGCUUAGAGCUUUUGUG